rnacentral:rRNA from 1 species
UUAAUAAUUAUCAUAUUUAAUAAAAAUAAUUUUAAUUUAAUAAAUAUUUUAAUGGGGGUUAAAGUAUUAUUUAAAGAAAAAAUUUUUAAAUUUAUAGUUAAUUAGUAUUGUGAAAGAAUUUUGAAAUAUUAUGAAAAUUAAAAUUUUAAUAAAGUAAUUUUUAUUUAUUGUAUCUUGUGUAUCAGAGUUUAUUAAAAAUUUUUAAUUUAUAAAUUAAUUUCUCGAAUUUAAAAGAGUUAAAUAAUUAUUAAAGUUAUUGUAGCAAAAUUAUUUUAAAUAAUUAUUUAGAAAUGAAAUGUUAAUCGUUUUUAAAUAUAUCUAGUUUUUAUAGAAAAAAAUUUAAUUUUAAAUUUUUAUAUUAUUUAAUUAAUUUAUUAAUUAAAUAAUUAUAAAAAUUUUAUAAUUUAAGGGAUAAGCUUUAAAUUAGAUUUUUAUAAUAUUAAAUUUUUAUUUUGAAAAUUUUAUAAUUUAUAUUGUUAAUAAAUUUUAUUUUAUUAUAAAUAAUUUCAUUUUUUUUAAAAUUUAAAUUUUAUUUAAUUUUUUAUAUAAAAUUUAUUUAUAAUUAUAUAAAUUUAAUUAUAAUGAUAAAAUUAGUAUAUUAUUUAAUAUAAAAUUAAAAUUAAUUUUUAAUUAAUAAUUAAAUUAAUUAAAAGGAAUUCGGCAAAUAUUUAUUUUCACUUGUUUAUCAAAAACAUGUCUUUUUGUUUUUAAUUUAAAGUCUAAUCUGCCCACUGAUUUAAAAAAAUUGAAGGGCUGCAGUAUAUUGACUGUACAAAGGUAGCAUAAUCAUUAGUCUCUUAAUUGGUGACUUGUAUGAAAGAUUGGAUGAAAAAUAUACUGUCUCUUAAUUAAUAUGUAGAAUUUAAUUUUUUAUUUAAAAAGUUAAAAUAAUUUAAAAAGACGAGAAGACCCUAUAGAGUUUAAUAAGUUUUUUUGUAAGAGUUUUAUUUAUAAUUAUUAAUAAUUUUAUAAAUUUUUUUAUUUUAUUGGGGUGAUAAAAAAAUAAAUUUAACUUUUUUAAAUAAUUUACAUAAAUAAAUGAUUAAU